UGGCGGAGGAAUUCCUAAACAGCUGCAUUUAAGUUUCAACAUAGAAAAAACAAAAUAUUGAGUUAGCAUCAUAUAAGAAAAAGUAAGCUAACCUAGUAAAAAAUGAAAAACAAUUAUAAAUAUCCACACAAUUUUCCUGGUUCUUUUUCUUUUUGCCUCUUCUUUUUUCUUUGCUUCAUCACAAAUUAAAUUCCAACCAACCAUAUCUCAAUUCCCCUGCUCGUCUCUCCUCAACAAUGUCAGAAAAUUGGCCCAGAUGUUCAUGUAGAAAUUAGCAUGUGUCAAGAAGCGUUAAACCCCAUUUCCAAAUGAACAAUUAACUCUGAAAGGAGUUGUUAUCUGUUUUGAUCCUAUAUAAAUUGUAUUUUAUCAUCCUUGAAGAAUAAGGAUCAUCCAAUAAAAGCUGUGCCAUAUUUUAUUGAACACAGCUUUCAAAAACUUUAUUCACCAGGAUCAAUAUCCAAAUAAAUAUUGAAAUAAAAAGACACCUUUCGAAACAGAUCAGCUUUUAGCAUCAAAAUCCAAGUCAUCCACACUAUACCAAACAAAAAUAAAAUAACCAUGACUAUGCAGAUAUAGUAUAAAAUAACCAUGACUAUACAGAUAUAGUCGCAGAGG
rnacentral:misc_RNA from 1 species